rnacentral:lncRNA from 1 species
CGCCACCACGCCUGGCUUAUUUUGAUUUUAUUUUAUUUUAUUUUUGUAUUUUAGUAGAGACGGGGUUUCACCAUGUUGGCCAGGCUUGUCUCGAUCUCCUGACCUCAUGAUCCGCCCGCCUCGGCCUCCCAAAGUGUUGGGAUUACAGGUGUGAGCCACCGCGCCCAGCUGUAUUUCUAUCUUUGUUUACGGUUUUGUUGUUCUGCUUCCUAAUUCUUUUAUAUACUUCUCUUCCAUAAUCUUCAUAAAGAAUCCUUUAGGGCUAUUUCAUUCCAUUUCUAUAGCCAGUCCUGUGCUUACAUAGUCACUGGGCUCCUGCCCACCCCCAUCCCAGCUUCCAUCCACAAAAGGUCAAAUAAAAGAAAGGCCUCCAAGGGGGCUGGUGCCUAUCAGAGGGUCUCAGGCAACUGAACAGUUUAGGGCUAGAUGUGGUUUAAGAUAUAGCUUGAUCCAUGGCUCAAAUGGUAUGACAGAAUGGAAUCUCUCUCCAUUUGAUGACUUUGCUUCUUAAAGAACUGUCCAAUUCCUGACAUUUGUCAUGCAAAAUGCAAAAUGGCCAUUAGCAUUUUUUUUUUUUUUUGCAGCAUUUACUUCUGGGCACAAAUCUAGCCUUUCUAGCAAUGUUCUGAGAUCCACUCUGAAUGGACUGACUUCAAUUCUAUGUCCACCUGAGCCAAUCAUAUGUCACUGGGGGAAGGGGGUCAUUGAUUGGCCAGGCUAGGGUUGUAAGCUCUGCCUCUAAACUUGUGGGGCAGUCAGUUCCAGCAACAGCUUACAGAGGAGGGGCAUGGUGGUCCUUCUGAAAGGAAUGGUCAUUGCUGAGCAGCACGAUAAAAAAGGAUAGCCACUGAGCAAGCCUGUAAGGCUAUUGGUCUGCCCAUUCUGGUUUCUUCACCAAUGAGAAAACUGGGACCUGGGGAGUUUGCAGAAGCCAUCCAAGGGCACCUGCUUCUCACAGCACAGCAGCUUCCUGCAGCCCUCCCUCCUGUCUUGUUUCUCCCUUAAUUGAGAGGAGAGGCCAGAACCAGAUGCAGGCAGUUCCAACAGUAAUGAAUUGCUCUAAGGUGUGGAUCCAAGAACCGGUGACAAGGUCAGGAAAUUCCAUCCCGGGACACUGACCCAACUAAGAGACUGUGCAUGAUGGCUAAGUUCAGAGCUCUGAGGAGAUGGUAAAACUCAUUUGCAACGAAACAAGAUAUUUUCCAACUCUGCAGCCAGGUGCAGAAAGCUGGAAGUGAUGCUCCAGGGAGUUUAUGUCUCCCCAUCUUGACCCACACCAAUACCUGAGGCUCGUUGCUUUGAUUCAAGUCCGGACAAGCUCUAAGGUUCAGCUCACACUGGGAGUCACGCUGCAGGUGCAAGCAAGAAUGGGGCUUGAAUCACACCCCUACUUGAUUUCUCCGUCUCCCUCCUCCUUCCUACUUCUCCCAGGAGCACCAUAGAAAAUUCCUGGAGCUCCUGGGAGUCUGUGAACGGUGGUGAUGCAGAAAAGCAAAGCGUGUAUAUCUGUUUUAGUCCUCCCUCAGAUCUGCUGAGGACACCUUGAGCCUGAAGUGAAAUCACAGUGGCUCUCAGGAAGAAGGGUGACUGUCUGGUGUGCAGUUGUGCUGCCACGGCAAAGGGAACUUUAAAACAUAGAACUGCCAUGUAGAAGCUCAGGAAAUAUCCAUGGUCUGUCAUCUCUUUUGGUCAUAGAAUCAAAAAAAAUGGAAGACGAGAAAAGGCAGUGAAGACUGACAGCCUGUUGGUUGCUAUUCCAGUCGUGUCUGCUCCAUACGCGCCCUCCAUCUCAUCCCACCCAGUCAGUAUAUUUUCACCAGGCAGUGUUGCAGAAAUGUCUGUGGACUCCAGUUCUAUUGCAGUCAGGCAGCAUUUACAGGUUUGACUUUCAACUGACCAUGGCAGGAAGUCUAGAGGCAAUUAUAGCCAACACCUGCUCUAUGUGCGUGCCGGGCAGGUGGUGGCUGAUUCCUUGCCUCCAAUCCAUGAUGUGUUUCCUAUCAGCUCAGAAUAAUAACAGUGACACCUCUGCUUCUUCUCUGUCUGGGGGAGCUCAAGGCACUUUACUCUGAAAACCCUCAAAUUACUGGCAUUUCUUUUAGUGAAGAUAUCAAAUUAAUGACUGAAAAAAAUGUAGAAGAUGGUUAUUGGUGAUGUUAAAAGACAAGUUUAACCCACUUCCACACAACAUGUCUUACAAGCGUAAAGUAUUUGAGUAGAGAAAACUAUGAAUCUAAAAUUGAACAAGAUGUGAAUUUAGACAGACAGCGUUUGUGGUCACAGAUGUGCCGAGAUGAAGACUGGAGGAAGGGCACAGUUUCUGUAGCAGUGACUUCCACCCAGGGUGUGUCUUGCUAUUGUGUGAAAUGAUUUUUGACACUGGACAAAUCUCUACUUCCACUUACAAUGUUUUGCCAGCUAGCUGAGGCAUUCUGGGAGGGUGAGGAGCCUGGGCUUGGGCUGACCUCAGGAAAUCCUGUGUAAAGGGCUUUUGCACACUCAGAAGCAGGCCAGGUUCACCGCUGUUAUGUGCAAUAUUCACUCCUGGCUCUUGCUUCUGAGCCUUGGCAAACCUGAGUCCUAAGAGGCCAAUGAAAAGGAAAACACGUUAAGGAGCCAGGGCGCUUCUUGGAUAUCAGCCUGAAUAGUUCUGUUUCAUCUGGACCCCAAUUUUACUCUCCUGCUGUUUUACACGGAACUAAAAAGAGCUUUACAGAGGACCAGAUAGACUGCAGGUCCCUAGGCAGUCAGGGGCCAGGCAAGGCAUAGGAGGGUGUCAGGCCUCUGAGCUCAAACUAGGCCAUCAUAUCCCCUGUGACCUGCACGUACACAUCCAGAUGGCUGGUUCCUGCCUUAACUGAUGGCAUUGUCUUGUGAAAUUCCUUCUCCUGGCUCAUCCUGGCUCAAGAGCUCCCCUACUGAGCACGUUGUGACCCCCACUCCUGCCUGCCAGAGAACAACCCCCCUUUGACUGUAAUUUUCCUUUACCUACCCAAAUCCUAUAAAAUGGCCCCACCCCUAUCUCCCUUCACUAACUCUCUUUUCGGACUCAGCCUGCCUGCACCCAGGUGAAAUAAACAGCCUUGUUGCUCACACAAAGCCUGUUUGGUGGUCUCUUCACAGGGACUCGCAUGAAAUUUGGUGCUGUGGCUCGGAUAGGGGGACCUCCCUCGGGAGAUCAAUCCCCUGUCCUCCUGCUCUUUGCUCCAUGAGAAAGAUCCACCUACGACCUCAGGUCCUCAGACCAAGCAGCCCAAGAAACAUCUCACCAAUUUCAAAUCUGGAAAGCAGCCUCUUUUUACUCUCUUCUCCAACCUCCCUCAAUAUCCCUCAACCUCUUUCUCUUUUCAAUCUUGGUGCCACACUUCAAUCUCUCCCUUCUCUUAAUUUCAAUUCGUUUCAUUUUCUGGUAGAGACAAAGGAGACACGUUUUAUCUGUGGACCCAAAACUCCGGCGCCGGUCACGGCCUGGGAAGGCAGCCUUCCCUUGGUGUUAAUCAUUGCAGGGAUGCCUCUCUGAUUAUUCACCCACGUUUCAGAGGUGUCGGACCACACAGGGACGCCUGCCUUGGUCCUUCACCCUUAGUGGCAAGUCCUGCUUUUCUGGGGGAGGGGCAAGAACCCCAACCCCUUCUCUCCAUGUCUCUACCUCUUCUCUGCUUUUCUGGGGGAGGGGCAAGAACCCCUCAACCCCUUCUCCUUCACCCUUAAUGGCAAGUCCCACUUUUCUGGGGGAGGGGCAAGAACCCCUCAACAUCUUGUCCUUCACUGUUAGCAGCAAGUCUCACUUUUCUGGGGGAGGGGCAAGAACCCCUCAAACCCUUGUCCUUCACCGUCAGCAGCAAGUCCCGCUUUUCUGGGAGAGGGGCAAGAACCUCUCAACCCCUUCUCCUUCACCCUUAGAGGCAAGUCCCGCUUUUCUGGGGGAGAGGCAAGAACCCCUUAUUUCCACAGCCCGACCUCUUAUCUCUGUGCCCUGAUCCCUUAUUUCUGUGCCCUGACCUCUUAUCUCUGCACCCCAACCCCUUAUUUCUGCACCCCCACCUCUUUCCCACUUUUCUGGAGGGUAAGAACCCCCGAACCCCUUCCCUCCAUGUCUCUACUCUCUCUUUUCUCUAGCCUUGCUUCCUUCACUAUGGGCAACCUUCCACCCUCCAUUCCUCCUUCUUCUCCCUUAGCCUGUGUUCUCAAGAACUUAAAACCUCUUCAACUCACACCUGACCUAAAACCUAAAUGCCUUAUUUUCUUCUGCAAUGCCGCUUGAUCCCAAUACAAACUUGGCAGUAGUUCCGAAUAGCCGGAAAACAGCACUUUCAAUUUUUCCAUCCUACAAGAUCUAAAUAAUUCUUGUCGUAAAAUAGGCAAACAGUCUGAGGUGCUGACGUCCAGGCAUUCUUUUACACAUUGGUCCCUCCCUAGUCUCUGUUCCCAAUGCAACUCGUCCCAAAUCUUCCUUCUUUCCCUCCCACCUGUCCCCUCAGUCCCAACCCCAAGUGUCGCUGAGUCUUUCUAAUCUUCCUUUUCUACAGACCCAUCUGACCUCUCCCCUCCUCUCCAGGCUGAGCUAGGUCCCAAUUCCUCCUCAGCUUCCGCUCCUCCACCCUGUAAUCCUUUUAUCACCUCGCCUCCUCACACCCAGUCCGGCUUACAGUUUCGUUCCUUGACUAGCCCUCCCCCACCUGCCCAGCAAUUUACUCUUAAAAAGGUGGAUGGAGCUAAAAGCAUAGUCAAGGUUAAUGCUCCUUUUUCUUUAUCCCAAAUCAGACAGCGUUUAGGCUCUUUUUCAUCAAAUAUAAAAAUCCAGCCCAGUUCAUGGCUCGUUUGGCAGCAACCCUGAAAUGCUUUACAGCCCUAGACCCUAAAAGGUCAAAAGGCCAUCUUAUUCUCAAUAUACAUUUUAUUACCCAAUCUGCUCCCGACAUUAAAUAAAACUUCAAAGAUUAAAUUCCAGCCCUCAAACCCCACAACAGGAUUUAAUUAACCUUGCCUUCAAGGUGUACAAUAAUAGAGUAGAGGCAGCCAAGUAGUAACAUAUUUCUGAGUUGCAAUUCCUUGUCUCCACCAUGAGACAAACCCCAGCCACAUCUCCAGCACACAAGAAUUUCCAAAUGCCUAAACCGCAGUGGCCAGGCAUUCCUCCAGCACCACCUCCCCCAGAAGCUUGCUACAAGUGCCAGAAAUCUGGCCACCAGGCCAAGGAAUGCCCGCAGCCCGGGAUUCCUCCUAAGCCAUGUCCCAUCUGUGGGGGACCCCACUGGAAAUCGGACUGUUCAACUCACCUGGCAGCCACUCCCAGAGCCCCUGGAACUCUGGCCCAAGGCUGUCUGACUGACUUCUUCCCAGAUCUUCUCGGCUUAGUGGCUGAAGACUGACAUGCCCGAUCGCCUCAGAAGCCCGAUAGACCAUCAUGGAUGCCGAGCUUUAGGAUUCUAAAGACCAUUUCCACAUGGAGAAGCUGCCAGAACAAGCACUGCUACCCUUGGAGGCCAUUGACAUUGUGAGGUCGCUGGGACUGAAAGGAGGUUGACCAGAAGUUCUGUUUGGCAAUGCAAAGCCAGGAGGAAAAGUUAAUGGAGUUUGUCCCCCGGGUCCCAAGAAAGCUGACCCAGGACGAUGAAGCUAGAAUUUGUGUUCUAGGAGGUGCUGCUUCUUCCAGGAAAGUCUACUCAAAGCACACACUUUUCCACAACUUUGUUAUCAGGCUGUGACAGAGGUUUGUGAACUGAUGAAAGCUCCAGAGCCUCCCAGGCCCUCUGAGUCUGAUGCCUGCACUCCACAAUCAGGCCUCAAGCUCAGGGCGCCUGCCACCAACCCACGCUGGGCUUCAGGGGCAGGCAGCACUUGAAUGGGGUUUGGUUAUUGUCUUUCUUUAUUUUCUCUUAUUUUAAGCCUUAAAAAAAAAAAGAUAAGGUCUUGCUCUAUUGCCCAGGCUGGAGAGAAAUGGUGUGAUCAUAGCUCACUGCAGCUUUGAAUUCCUGGGUUCAACCGAUCCUCCCACCUAAGCCUCCCGAGUAACCAGGACUGCAAGUAUGCACCACCACACCCAGUUAAUUAAAUUUGUGUGUGUGUGUGUGUGUAGAGGUGGGUUCUUGCUUUGUUGCCCAGGCUGGUCUUGAACUCUUGAGUUCAGACAAUCCUGCCACCUCAACCUCACAAAGUGCUGGAAUUACAGGCGUGAGCCACUGCACUCAGCCUCCUUAAGCCAUUUGCUUAAGUGGCUUUAUUGCAAAACAAUAUCAGAAUAACAAAGAAAUAUAAGGUCAAACUUUCCCUGUUCCCAUCUAGUCCAAUAAGCAUUGCUGCUCUUGCCAGGGAUUCUCGCCCAUCUCCAUGUGCCAGUGCAAUCCAUACUGGUUGUUCUCCUUGGCUACCCCACAUCUGAGUCUCUGCCUUGUCUGCAUUCUUCCCCACUUUAUGAAGAGAUGAGUCAGUGCCUGAUUUUUUCUGCCUCUCUUGUCACUAGGGCACAGCCAUGUGCAUGGGCCCUGUCACUCAGAAGCCCCCAUCCACCAACAACAUGGCUCUGGGGGCCUCCUCUCUCUGGAAGAAUUGGCAGUUUUAGCAAGAAAGGUUUUCAGAGGCAGCAAUGAUGGUGGAGAUGUCCAGGGCCAGUGGCAGGUCAAACCAUUCUCUGUGUCAUUUGGGGCAGUGUUUAUGCUGUCCCUCAUUUUGGUUCCCUAAGCCUCCGAACAUGUACGUGAAUUUCCGAAUAUUCUCAAUUAAAUUGUUUUUCUGUUGAAAUUGGCCUGGUUGCUUUCAACUAUGACAAACCUAGCUAUAUAAGUAUUAUUUUGUAGUGUUGGGAUUGAUAGAACUUUAUGUUCUACACAUUAGCAGAAUACCAUGUGUAUUUUUCCAUUUGACAUAAUCUUUUAUCUUUCCAUUGAUAAGUAUUAUUACUAUUUAGUGAUAUAUUAUUUGAGUUCUCUUGCCCCUUUUGGGUAGCCCAUGUUAACAGUAAUACCCAGCUGCUACACUGAGAGCCUCUGAGACUUACUGGCUUCAGGGGAGACAGCACAUUAUCAGCUGUGGUGGCCAUGGCCGAGACUCCUUUUGCCUGAGAAAAGCAGAGGAAAAUGUAGAAGGGACUUCGUCUUGCAUCUGAGACACCAGCACAGCCACAGGGUGGUAGAGCACCAAGGGGGCUUUUGGAAUCUUUGAUUCUGGGAUGUGGCUCUUGGAAGGCAUUUCUGGACUUGCCCUGGGCCAGGGGGAGCCCACUGUCUUAAAGGGUGAGUCCCAGGCCAGGCAGCAUUUGCCACAGUCGACUGAAGAGCCCUGGGGGCCUUCAAGGGACAUAGAAGGUAAUCUGAAAGUACUCCGCAUAGGCCUGUGGGGUGGUGGCCAUGGGGCAAGGCUGCCCUGCCUCUGGAAAGGGUAGGAGAGAGUGAGAAAGACUGCAUCCUGUUGUCCGAGUGCCAGCUCAGCCACAGUACAAUAGAACACCAGCUAGGCUCCCAGCCAGCACCUCUGGACCAGCCUGGAAACUGGGGGUAACUCAUCGCCCUGAAGGGAAGGACAAAGGCCUGGCUGGCUUUGCCGUCUGCUGAUUGUUGAGCCCUAGGCGGGGAGCGGUUACAGUCGGCCUUGGGUGAGACUCAGAGCUGCACUGGCUUCAGGUCUGACUCAGCACAGUCACAGUGAUGGUGGCCACAGGGGUGCUUAUGUCACUCUAUCCCAGCUUUAGGUGGCUCAGAACAGACACACUCCAUUUCUUUGGGAGAAAGUAAGAAAGAGAACAAGAGUCUCUCUGAUAAUCCAGAGAGUUCUCCCAGAUCUUGUCCAAGAUCAUCAAGGCAAUACCACUGAGUCUGCAAAAACUGCAGUGUUACUGGGCUUGGGGUGCCCCCUAAAACAGAUACAACUUAGAUCACAACACCCAUGGCCUUUUAAAUAUGUGAAAAGCCUUCCCAAGAAGGACGGGUACAAACAAGCCCAGAUAGCAAAGGCUACAAUAAAUACCUAACUCUUCAAUUCCAGACACAAAUGGACACCUACAAGUAUCAAGACAUUCCAGGAAAAAAAUGACCUCACCAAAUGAACUAAAUAAAGCAUCAGGGACCCAUCCUGAAGAAACAGAUACGUGACCUUUUAGACAGAGAAUACAAAAUAGCCACUCUGAGGAAACUCAAAGAAAUUCAAGAUAACACAGAGAAGGAAUUCAGAAUUCUAUCAGAUAAAUUUAACAAAGAGAUUGAAAUCAUUCAAAAUGAUCAAACAGAUACUGUGGAGAUAAAAAAUGGAAUUGGCAUACUAAAGAAUGCAUCAGAGUCUUAAUAAUAGAAUUAAUCAAGUAGAAGAAAGAAUUAGCUUGAAGACAGGCUAUUUCAAAAUACACAGUUAGAGGACUCAAAAGAAAAUAGAAUAAAAAAUAAUGAAGCAUGUCAAAGAAUCUAGAAAAUAGCCUCAAAAGGACAAAUCUAAGAGUUAUUGGCCUUAAAGGGGAGACAAAGAAAGAGAUAAGGGUAGAAUGUUUAUUCAAAGGGAUAAUAACAGAGACUUUUCGAAACCCGGAUAAUAAUAUCAAUAUCCAAGUACAAGAAAACAGAACACCAAGCAGAUUAAAUCCAAAGAAGACUGCCUCAAGGCAUUUAAUAAUCAAAUUCUAAAGAUCAAGGGUAAAGAAAGGAUCCUAAAAGUAACAAGGGAGAAGAAACAGAUAACAUACAAUGGAUCUCCAGUAUGUCUUGCAGUGGACUUUUCAGUGGAAACCUUAAAGUCCAGGAGAGAGUGGCACAACACAUUUAAAGUGCUGAAAGAAAGAAACUUUUACCCUAGAAUAGUAUAUCCAGCAAAAAUAUUCUUCUAACAUGAAGAAAAAAUAAAGACUUUCCCAGGCAAACAAAAGCUGAGGGAUUUUAUCAGCACUAGACCUGUCUUAUGAGAAAUGCCAAAGGGAGUACUUCAAUCAGAAAGAAAAGGAUGUUAGUAAGUAAUCAUGCGAAAGUACAAAAUUCAUGGGUAAUAGUAAGCACACAGAAAAACACAGAAUUUUAUAUCCCUGUAACUGUGAUGUGUAAACUACUAUUAUUCUAAGUAGAAAAACUAAAUGAUGAACCAAUCAAAAAUAAUAACUAUAACAAUUUUUCAAGCCAUAGACAGUACUAUAAGAUAUAAAUAGAAACAACAAAAAGUUUAAAAUCAGGACAAAGUUAAGACGUAGAGUUUUUAUUAGUUUCCUUUUUUUUUGCUUCUUUGUUUCUUUGUUUAUGCAAACAAUGUUAAGUUGUUAUCAGCUUAAAGUAACAGGUCAUAAAGAAGCCAGUCAUGGUGUCUCACACUUGUAAUGCCAGCACUUUGAGAGUCCAAGGUGGGUGGAUCACUUGAGGUCAGAAGUUUGAGACCAGCCUGGCCAAUAUGGCGAAACCCCAUCGCUACUAAAAAUACAAAAAUUAGCCAGGUAUGGUGGCACAUGCCUGUAAUCCCAGCUACUCAGGAGGCUGAGGCAUGAGAACCCAGAAUGUGGAGGUUGAAGUAAGCCAAGAUCACACCACUGUACUCCAGCUUGGAUGACAGAGCAAGACUCUGUUUCAGAAGGAAAAAAAAAAGUCAUAAGAUAGUAUUUGCAAGCCUCAUAGUGACCUCAAACCAUAAAAACAUACAAUGAAUACACAAAAAGUAAAAAGCUAGAAACUAAAUCAUAUUACUAGAGAAAAAUCACUUUCACUAAAGGAAGGAAAGAAAGAAGGCAGAGAACAUCACAGAACAACUAGAAAACAAGUUAACACAAUGGCGGGAGUAAGUUCUUACUUAUCAAUAUUAACAUUGAUUGUAAAUAAGAACACCAAUAAAAUGAAAGAUUACAUCAAGUUAAAAAGUUAAAAAGCUUCUGCACAGCAAAGGAAACAGUCAAUAAAGUGGUAACCCCGCAGAGUGGGCAAAAAAUAUUUGCAAACUACCCAUGUGACAAGGGAUUAAUAACCAGAAUAUAUAAGGAGCUCAAACAACUCUAGAGAAAAACAAAUCUAAUAAUCUGAUCAAAAAAUAGGCAAGAUAUUUGAAUAGACAUUUCUCAAAAAAGACAUACAAAUGGCAAACAGUCAUAUGAAAAGGUGCUCAACAUCAUUGAUCAUCAGAACAAUGCAAAUAAAAACUACAAUGAAAUGUCAUCUCAUCCCUGUUAAAAUCGAUUGUAUCCAAAAGACAGGCAAAAACAAAUGCUGGUGAAAUGUGGAGAAAAGGGAACCCUCAUACACUGUUGGUGGGAAUGUAAGUUAGCCCAACCACUAUGAAUAGUGGUUUGAAGGUUCCUCAAAAAGCUAAAUAUGGAGCUACCAUAUGGUUCAGCCAUCCCACUGCUGGGUAUAGACCCAAAAGAAAGGAAAUCAGUAUAUUGAAGAGAUGUCUGCACUCCCGUGUUUGUUUCAGCACUGUUCACAGUAGCAAAGAUUUUGAAACAACCCAAGUGUCCCUCAAUAGAUGAAUAGAUAAACGAAAUGUGGUGCUUUUACACAAUGGAGUACUGUUCAGCCAUAAAAAUGAAUGAGAUCCUGUUCUUUACAACAACAUGGGUGGAAAUGAAGAUCAUUAUAUUAAGUGAUAUAAGCCAGACACAGAAAGACAAACAUUACAUCUUCUCAUGUACUUAUGGGAUCUGAAGAUCAAAAUAAUUGAACUCCAUGGACAUAGAGAGUAGAAGAAUGGUUACCAUAGGCUGGGAUUAGUAGUGGGACAGGUGGGGCAGGGGGCAGGUUAGGACAGGUAAUAGGUACAAAAAUAAUAGGAAGAAUGAAUAAGACCUACUAUUUGUUAGCAUAAAAUGGUACUUGUAAUCAAUUACACUUAAUUAUAUGUUUUAAAAUAACUCAAAGAGUAUAAUUGGAUUCUUUGUAACACAAAGAAUAAAUGUUUGAGGAGAUGGAUACCCUAUUCAGCAUGAUGUGUUAUUAUGCAUUGCAGGCCUGUAUCAAAGCAUUUCAAGUACGCUAUAGAUAUAUACACCUACUAUGUACUCACAAAAAUUAACAAAUUAAAAAAUUAAAGAAAACAGAGUGAGAAUGGGAUGGUGAGCAGGUGGUAUAAGGUAUAUGAUAUUGGUGUUCAGACUGUUAUCCAAAACCCUAAGAAUAGGCCAGGUGCGGUGGCUCACACCUGUAAUCCCAGCACUUUGCGAGGCUGAGGCGGGUAGAUCAUGUGGUGAGGAGUUCAAGACCAGCCUGGCCAAGAUGGUAAAACCCUGUCUCUAGUAAAAAUACAAAAAUUAGCCAGGCAUGGUGGUGGGCGCCUGUAAUCCCAGCUACUUAGGAGGCUGAGGCAGAGAAUUGCUUGAACCCAGGAGGCAGAGGUUGCAGUGAGCUGAGAUCAUGCCACUGCACUCCAGCCUGGGCAACAGAGCGAGACUCUGUCUCAAAAAAAAAAGGCAAAAAAAACAAAA